CGGAUCACCUUCUUCGGGUACUUGUAGAUGCCGGCGACGAGGCAGUGGCCGUAGGGGCGGUCGCGGCUGCUGCCCUCAUCGAAGUUCCGGACGAUGACGGCCUUCCGGCCGGCGAAUCGGCCCUGGAGGAUGAUCACCGCCUUGUUGGGUUUCAGAAACUUGACCAUUUUGGUGGGUGGGGUUGAUCUGCUCCGGCGGCGGCGAUGG
rnacentral:misc_RNA from 1 species